UCCAAUGCAAGCAGAUACCACACAGCACUCU
rnacentral:piRNA from 1 species